rnacentral:rRNA from 1 species
GCAACGAGCGCAACCCCUAUUGUUAGUUGCCAUCAUUCAGUUGGGCACUCUAGCGAGACUGCCGGUAAUAAACCGGAGAAGUGGGGAUGACGUCAAAUCAUCAUGCCCCUUAUGACCUGGGCUACACACGUGCUACAAUGGUUGGUACAACGAGUUGCGAGUCGGUGACGGCGAGCUAAUCUCUUAAAGCCAAUCUCAGUUCGGAUUGUAGGCUGCAACUCGCCUACAUGAAGUCGGAAUCGCUAGUAAUCGCGGAUCAGCACGCCGCGGUCGAAUACGUUCCGGCCUU